rnacentral:rRNA from 1 species
GAUGAACGCUGGCGGCGUGCCUAAUACAUGCAAGUCGAGCGAACAGACGAGGAGCUUGCUCCUCUGACGUUAGCGGCGGACGGGUGAGUAACACGUGGAUAACCUACUUAUAAGACUGGGAUAACUUCGGGAAACCGGAGCUAAUACCGGAUAAUAUAUUGAACCGCAUGGUUCAAUAGUGAAAGACGGUUGUGCUGUCACUUAUAGAUGGAUCCGCGCCGCAUUAGCUAGUUGGUAAGGUAACGGCUUAUCAAGGCAACGAUGCGUAGCCGACCUGAGAGGGGGUUGGCCCACUGUGGGGCUGAGCCGCGGUCCAGGGUCCGAGGGACGGCACCGAUUGGUAUGCUACGGAGAAGGGGGGAACCCUGCAGAAGGACCGGAGGGGUGAUGAAGAAGGUCUGCGGGUGGUAAAACGUUUUUUUUGGGGAAAAACAAUUUUGUAAGUAACUAAGCGUGUUUUGCCGUAACCGGUAAAGAAGCCCCGGGUAACUUCGUG